rnacentral:rRNA from 1 species
AUGAACGCUGGCGACAGGCCUAACACAUGCAAGUCGAGGGGCAGCACAAGGAGCAAUCUGAGGUGGCGACCGGCGCACGGGUGAGUAACACGUAUGCAACCUGCCUGUAAGCGGGGAAUAACCCGUUGAAAGACGGACUAAUACCGCAUAAUACUAAAUUACUGCAUGGUAAUUUAUUUAAACAUUUAUGGCUUACAGAUGGGCAUGCGCAUGAUUAGCUAGUUGGAGAGGUAACGGCUCCCCAAGGCAACGAUCAUUAGGGGUUCUGAGAGGAAGGUCCCCCACACUGGUACUGAGACACGGACCAGACUCCUACGGGAGGCAGCAGUGAGGAAUAUUGGUCAAUGGACGAGAGUCUGAACCAGCCAAGUCGCGUGCAGGAAGAAUGUCCUAUGGAUUGUAAACUGCUUUUGCAGGGGAAUAAAGUGCAUCACGUGUGAUGUUUUGUAUGUACUCUGCGAAUAAGGAUCGGCUAACUCCGUGCCAGCAGCAGC